CUUCCAAUGCCACCAUCAUUCGAAUUGUUUCAUGGCUUGCAACUGUAGCAAAAACCACAUUGUAAUCAAUGCCAAAUUCUUGCUUAUAUCUCUUCGCAACAAAUCGUGCUUUAUACUUGUCAACGAUACCAUCUUUGUUCAACUAGUUUUGUACAUCCAUUUAACACCAAUAGAUUUUUGUUCUUUCGAAAGUUCUGAUAGUUCCUGUGUGUUGUUUCUCUCUAUAGACUUGAUCUCCUCAUCCAUAGCUUUUUUCCAUUUCAAAUCUUUGAUAGCUUCUUGGAAUGUUAUAGGAUAACAAUCAUAUAAUAAAGCAUAAUGAGCAAGAGUAACAUCACAUUGAUCACUAGUAACCUCAAAAUCCAUCAUCCAAGCAAGCCUCUUCUUGAUGAGUUGAGAUCGAGAGAUUUCACUUAUUAUUUGAGUUUCGUUGACAUCAAUUGGCUACUAUAGUUUGACGUUGCAAGUGAUGAAGGAAUAUUGGGAAAAGUAGAUUGCCCCGGUAUUUUUGCUCUUUCUUUUCAAAAUUCACAGGCAUUUGGUGUUGCCCUAUAUCUUCUCCAGUCCGAUUCCAUGUAUUUUCUUCAUCAAACACAAUAUUCCGACUGAUGACAAUCUUUCUUGUGAUUGGAUUGUACAAUUUGUAGGCUUUUAACUAUUUACUGGUGCUAAGAAAGACAUACAUUUUACCUUCAUAAGCUGGCUUCUUCCUCUUUUCGUCCGAGACAUGUGCAUAUCCAAUAACCUGAAAAACCAUGAAGUGAUCAACGGAUGGUUUUUGCCCACUCCAAACUUCGUCUGGAGUAAUGUUUUUAAUAGAAAAAGUAGGACUCCGAUUCAAAACAUGUGCGCUCCAAUUUACUGUUUCUAGC
rnacentral:lncRNA from 1 species